AGUAGAAUUUUGAGAUCGAGUUUAGAGCUUAGAGAAAAACAUAUCUAGGGGUCCCUUUUUAUAGACGGAGAGUAUAACUGAUUGACAACGACGUCUGUAACUGUCUGGUAGUGGGCUGUUCAGAGCCGUCCAGAGUUUGUUAUGGAGAGUAGUGACGUCAGGGGUCGUUUAGGGCCAUGUGGAGUUUGUUACAGAGAGUGGAGUGGCGUCCGUUAUUGUGACUUGCCAG
rnacentral:lncRNA from 1 species